rnacentral:rRNA from 1 species
AGAGUUUGAUCCUGGCUCAGGAUGAACGCUAGCGGCAGGCUUAACACAUGCAAGUCGAGGGGCAGCGGGGAGGAAGCUUGCUUUCUCCGCCGGCGACCGGCGCACGGGUGAGUAACACGUAUGCAACCUGCCCCUGUCAGGGGGACAACCCGCCGAAAGGCGGGCUAAACCCGCGUACAUGCCACCGGGGCAUCCCGGAGGCAGGAAAGGCUUCGGCCGGACAGGGAUGGGCAUGCGGCGCAUUAGGCAGUAGGCGGGGUAACGGCCCACCUAACCGACGAUGCGUAGGGGUUCUGAGAGGAAGGUCCCCCACACUGGUACUGAGACACGGACCAGACUCCUACGGGAGGCAGCAGUGAGGAAUAUUGGUCAAUGGUCGGGAGACUGAACCAGCCAAGCCGCGUGAGGGAGGAAGGUACAGAGUAUCGUAAACCUCUUUUGUCAGGGAACAAAGGCGGGGACGUGUCCCCGGAUGAGUGUACCUGAAGAAAAAGCAUCGGCUAACUCCGUGCCAGCAGCCGCGGUAAUACGGAGGAUGCGAGCGUUAUCCGGAUUUAUUGGGUUUAAAGGGUGCGCAGGCGGUCUGUUAAGUCAGCGGUCAAAGCCCGGGGCUCAACCCCGGCCCGCCGUUGAAACUGGCAGUCUCGAGUUGGAGAGAAGUAUGCGGAAUGCGCGGUGUAGCGGUGAAAUGCAUAGAUAUCGCGCAGAACUCCGAUUGCGAAGGCAGCAUGCCGGCUCCACACUGACGCUGAGGCACGAAAGCGUGGGUAUCGAACAGGAUUAGAUACCCUGGUAGUCCACGCAGUAAACGAUGAAUGCUGGCUGUCCGGGGGGACUGACCCCUGGGUGGCGAAGCGAAAGCGAUAAGCAUUCCACCUGGGGAGUACGCCGGCAACGGUGAAACUCAAAGGAAUUGACGGGGGCCCGCACAAGCGGAGGAACAUGUGGUUUAAUUCGAUGAUACGCGAGGAACCUUACCCGGGCUCAAACGGGGAGUGGCGCAGGCAGAGACGCCUGUUUCCCACGGGACACUCCCCGAGGUGCUGCAUGGUUGUCGUCAGCUCGUGCCGUGAGGUGUCGGCUUAAGUGCCAUAACGAGCGCAACCCCCGCGUGCAGUUGCUAACAGUCAACGCUGAGGACUCUGCACGGACUGCCGGCGCAAGCCGCGAGGAAGGCGGGGAUGACGUCAAAUCAGCACGGCCCUUACGUCCGGGGCGACACACGUGUUACAAUGGGUGGUACAGCGGGAGGCCAGGCGGCGACGCCGAGCGGAACCCGAAAUCCACUCUCAGUUCGGAUCGGAGUCUGCAACCCGACUCCGUGAAGCUGGAUUCGCUAGUAAUCGCGCAUCAGCCAUGGCGCGGUGAAUACGUUCCCGGGCCUUGCACUCACCGCCCGUCAAG